CACGUAGGGGCCAAGCGUUGUCCGGAUUUAUUGGGCGUAAAGAGCUCGUAGGCGGUUGGGUAAGUCGGGUGUGAAAACUCCAGGCUCAACUUGGAGACGCCACCCGAUACUGCUCUGACUUGAGUUCGGUAGGGGAGUGGGGAAUUCCUGGUGUGAGCGGUGGAAAUGACGCAGAUAUCGGGAAGAACACCUAUGGCGAAGGCAGCUCUCUGGGACGGUACUGACGCUGAGACGCGAAAGCGUGGGGAGCGAACAGG
rnacentral:rRNA from 1 species